rnacentral:rRNA from 1 species
GGAGAGUUUGAUCCUGGCUCAGGACGAACGCUGGCGGCGUGCUUAACACAUGCAAGUCGAGCGGUAAGGCCCUUCGGGGUACACGAGCGGCGAACGGGUGAGUAACACGUGGGUGAUCUGCCUUGCACUCUGGGAUAAGCCUGGGAAACUGGGUCUAAUACCGGAUAUGAGCCUGAACUGCAUGGUUCGGGUUGGAAAGAUUUAUCGGUGCGAGAUGGGCCCGCGGCCUAUCAGCUUGUUGGUGAGGUAACGGCUCACCAAGGCGACGACGGGUAGCCGGCCUGAGAGGGCGACCGGCCACACUGGGACUGAGACACGGCCCAGACUCCUACGGGAGGCAGCAGUGGGGAAUAUUGCACAAUGGGCGAAAGCCUGAUGCAGCGACGCCGCGUGAGGGAUGACGGCCUUCGGGUUGUAAACCUCUUUCGACAGGGACGAAGCGCAAGUGACGGUACCUGUAGAAGAAGCACCGGCUAACUACGUGCCAGCAGCCGCGGUAAUACGUAGGGUGCGAGCGUUGUCCGGAAUGACUGGGCGUAAAGAGCUUGUAGGCGGUCUGUCACGUCGGUCGUGAAAACUCACAGCUCAACUGUGGGCCUGCGGUCGAUACGGGCAGACUAGAGUACUUCAGGGGAGACUGGAAUUCCUGGUGUAGCGGUGAAAUGCGCAGAUAUCAGGAGGAACACCGGUGGCGAAGGCGGGUCUCUGGGAAGUAACUGACGCUGAGAAGCGAAAGCGUGGGUAGCGAACAGGAUUAGAUACCCUGGUAGUCCACGCCGUAAACGGUGGGUACUAGGUGUGGGUUUCCUUCCACGGGAUCCGUGCCGUAGCUAACGCAUUAAGUACCCCGCCUGGGGAGUACGGCCGCAAGGCUAAAACUCAAAGGAAUUGACGGGGGCCCGCACAAGCGGCGGAGCAUGUGGAUUAA